AGCGCAGGCGGGAAGGUAAGUCUAUCUUAAAAGUGCGGGGCUCAACCCCGUGAGGGGAUAGAAACUAUUUUUCUUGAGUGCAGGAGAGGAAAGCGGAAUUCCUAGUGUAGCGGUGAAAUGCGUAGAUAUUAGGAGGAACACCAGUGGCGAAGGCGGCUUUCUGGCUGUAACUGACGCUGAGGCUCGAAAGCCAGGGGAGCGAACG
rnacentral:rRNA from 1 species